GUAGGUGGCAAGGCGUUGUCCGGAAUUAUUGGGCGUAAAGCGCGCGCAGGCGGUUCGUUUAAGUCUGAUGUGAAAGCCCACGGGCUCAACCGUGGAGGGUCAUUGGAAACUGGAGAACUUGAGUACAGAAGAGGAAAGCGGAAUUCCACGUGUAGCGGUGAAAUGCGUAGAGAUGUGGAGGAACACCAGUGGCGAAGGCGGCUUUCUGGUCUGUAACUGACGCUGAGGCGCGAAAGCGUGGGGAGCAAACAGGAUUAGAUACCCUGGUAGUCCACGCCGUAAACGAUGAGUGCUAAGUGUUAGGGGGGUUUCCGCCCCUUAGUGCUGCAGCUAACGCAUUAAGCACUCCGCCUGGGGAGUACGGCCGCAAGGCUG
rnacentral:rRNA from 1 species